GAAGCCAGGCGGCAGAAGGUCAUGAGCAAUAUCGCCCGGACGUGGAACUGGAUGAAGGAUUUUACGGAAUCGUAAAACUCUGUUGUUAGGGCAAGAACAAGUGCCGUUUCGAAAGGGCGGCACCUUGACGGUUACCCUAACGAGGAAAGCCACGGGCUAACUACGUUGCCAGCAGCCCGCGGUAAUACGUAGGUGGCAAGCGUUGUCCGGAAUUUAUUGGGGCGUAAAGCGCGCGCAGGGCGGUCUCUUAAGUCUGAUGUGAAAGCCCCCCGGCUCAACCGGGGGAGGGUCAUUGGAAACUGGGAGACUUGAGUACAGAAGAGGAGAGUGGAAUUCCACGUGUAGCGGUGAAAUGCGUAGAGAUGUGGAGGAACACCAGUGGCGAAGGCGACUCUCUGGUCUGUAACUGACGCUGAGGCGCGAAAGCGUGGGGAGCAAACAGGAUUAGAUACCCUGGUAGUCCACGCCGUAAACGAUGAGUGCUAGGUGUUAGGGGUUUCGACGCCCUUAGUGCCGAAGUUAACACAUUAAGCACUCCGCCUGGGGAGUACGACCGCAAGGUUGAAACUCAAAGGAAUUGACGGGGGCCCGCACAAGCAGUGGAGCAUGUGGUUUAAUUCGAAGCAACGCGAAGAACCUUACCAGGUCUUGACAUCCUUUGACCACCCUAGAGAUAGGGCUUUCCCCUUCGGGGGGACAAAGUGACAGGUGGUGCAUGGUUGUCGUCAGCUCGUGUCGUGAGAUGUUGGGGUUAAGUCCCGCAACGAGCGCAACCCCUUGACCUUAGUUGCCAGCAUUCAGUUGGGGCACUCUAAAGGUGACUGCCGGUGACAAACCGGGAGGAAGGGUGGGGGAUGACGUCAAAAUCAUCAUGCCCCUUAUGACCUGGGGCUAACACAACGGUGCUACAAUGGAUGGUACAAAGGGUUGCGAAGCUCGCGAAGGUGAAGCCCAAUCCCAGAAAGCCAUUCUCAGAUCCGGAUUGCAGCCUGGCCAACUUCGUCCUUGCCAUGAAGCCGGAAUCGCUAGUAACCGCCGAGGAGCUUGCCAGUUUUAAUCC
rnacentral:rRNA from 1 species